UCACAUAGCUGUUAGUGAAAUGACAGUCCUAUGAAAUAGUUGGUUUGUGAUGUGUAGUUGACAGCCAAUGGUCUGCUACAUCCAAUAUGGCAUGAAAUGUUGUCAUUCAUAUGACUGAAAUGCAUGCACAUAUGCCCUGGGGGAUUAGAGCCAUCUCAGCUGCUGAAUGAACAGUUUAAUGCUGCUCUGUUGAAAGCAAUGGGUGGAAUCUCAGGCUUAGAGCAAAGCAAUACUGAUGAGUUACCAGAUGAAGAUGUGCUCACCUUUGCAGACAUUCCAAGGAAUUCACAAGACUAACAUCUGAAGGAAGACAAAUGGGACAAAUUCUUUCCUCCCCAAUACUUUAAAUACAAUUGUGCUUUAAAUUCA